GGCUAGUUAGUUAAAUUGUGUGCAAUAAUGUGGAUUUUGUAAGUCUAAGUUGAUUGAUGAUCAUUGGCCU
rnacentral:tRNA from 1 species